rnacentral:tRNA from 1 species
AGUGUCAUGGCUUUGUUGGUUAAAGCACCUGUUUUGUAAACAGGAGAUUUGUCUGUUCAAAUUCUAGGUGUUCCUU